AGUGCCUGAAUCUAAUUGGUUGUGGCGCUCGCUGGCUGCCUGUAUAUAAAGGGCCCUCCCUCACCUGGUUGACAUGACGUUGUUUUCCUUCCGGUUCAGACCUCUGCGUUUGUUGGUGCUGCACGCUGGGUAAGGCAGGCUUCAUCUCUCUUAAGCAAGCUUAUUACUUGUGAUUCAUUUACAUUUUCUGUAUAACAGCUGCAACUUAAUGCGUGCGCUCAAACAAUGCGCUUAACGACACUCUGAUCGGCGAUCAAUUGUACCUUUGGCCGCCUGUACAAGCUCCAUGUCUCCUCCUUCCUGUUAGAGGCACUACAUAAAGAGCUCGGUGCCGCUGCUGUUUGUCCUGGGCCGGCUGUUUGCCUGCUGUUCUGGUUGUCCACCUGUCACCUGGAUAAUCUGUCGGCUGCCUACCUGUCGUCCUGUUUGCUGGCUUCAUGCCCGCCGUCCGGAUCUGCGUAAAGCGGCUCCUAUCACUCGUCCAGUGUGGCUGAUUUGGGCUGAUUGGGGACCAGCUCGGACUAAGCCUUCUAGUGCCGCUUUGAGUGGCGUCUGCUACAGCGGAUCGGUUCCUCCCAAGACAGACUUUUAAUUCGGACUAUUGCUGCUUGAGUUGUUGUGGACUGAACUGUAUAAUUGUAUUUGUAAUUUGAAUGUUUCUUCUAUUUUAACAGGAACGGCCAGCUCGUGGUGUUGGUGGUGGACUUUCUGGGUGGUGGUACUACUUCUGGUUUGGUGCACGAUUUUCUUUUGUUUUGCUUUGUUUCGUUUGCUGUGUUUCUUUUCUUUUAGGACACUACCCCGAAUUUCACUCCCGUCUCUGAGUUGAGCCAUAACUGACUUUUAAGGUGUGAGUGAUUUUAGAUUAGUAUUUUUUGAUUAACCAAUUGUGGAAUAAAUAAAAUUGUUGAAUUGUGA